AGGAACCCUGGAAAAGGUGCGAGUUGGCCUCCCACAAGUCAUGAUGAUUCUUCCGACAAAACGUGGGAGCCCACUGAGACCCCAGCUUGUGGCUUGUUUUCAUCUUGACUCAAGAAUGAGCUCAGGACUUUGUUCAAUGGAGGUGGGAACAGUGCAGCUCCGACCCGAGUAACAAUGGAGAUGGCGAGAUCUUGCUUCUGCCCCAGGCCCAUUGGGAGGGAUCCAAUGGAGACCUCCAGUUUAGACUCUCUCUCAUCAUAAUAUUUGGCUGGGUCUCUCUGUCUGCUCCCAUCUGCUGCUGGAGGAAGCCUCUCUGAUGAUGACUGAACAAGGCACAGAUCUAUGUUCCAACAACAUCCACCUCAAGGAAAAUGGGACUCCAACUUGCUUCCUUCCCUUGAGACACGGUGUUUAUGGUGGGCUGUGAGCUUAGGCCUCUAUAAGGCUCGGAAGGCAUUGAUUAACUCUAAUGGAAGAAAAAAGAGGGGCCUGGCUGACCCCUAAGAGGGGGCCAUACUUAGGCUUGGGGGAAGAUCUUUCAUAACAACGAGACUGGUUUCAGAGACAGAUUUCCUGAGGAGUGCGGCAAGCAAAUCAAUAAGAAGGAGGAAGCUGAGGAUCCAGCUUUUUAUCAAGAGAAGGAAAAUGCCUUGAAAGGGCCCUGCUAUUCAUUACAGCAGCCUCCAGGACAUCCAUUAGACAAGCCCAAGUAUCUCUGGGAUACAGGAAGAAUUAGUUUCCUUCUAAACCUAGUAGAUAACAUCAUUGUUGGCUGGACAACUCUUUGCUUGGCCUUCACAUCAGUCUUCGGCAUUGACUUCUCUAAGGGGAUGCAACUACAUCAAGAAAUGCACGCCAGAGCUGUUGCCCAGAGUGAUGGAGUCUGCAAGCUUCUGAAAUACUUUUAUAUGGAAACUGAAAAUCAUUACUUAGCUUCAGGAUGCUAGUGCCUGCAACACAGCAAUUGCUUUCCCAACAUAGGCUAGUGUGUCAUUAAUUGAUUGUCUACACUCUGUCAACAUUGAUAGAGAUGUUAUGUUCAUGUUUUACAAAUUUUAUGGCAGUAGCAAUAAGAACAGUUUUUAGUACAUACUAUGUGCUUUUGUAUUUCUCAGUUAUCAUAAUUUUUUUUGUUCUUAAACAUCUUUGUCUACUCUUCAAAUAAUGAGCAAUAGCUCUUACUUGAACCACUCACCAUCUCUAAAAUUAAUAUUAACCUUAUUCUUAUACCAUAAUAUAGCUUUAAGAUAUUGCUUUUACUAAAAAGGUGUGUAAUUCUGUAAUGGCUCUUCUUUUAUAUAACAAGAACAUUUUGCAGCAAUUUUAUUUCAUCCAUAUUAUUUGAUGAUAGCCUGUCUAGAUAUCAUUUAAAUCAAGGCCCUUUUCUAGCCUUUUUACUAUACUGGUGAUACAGAAGCUAAGUGAGUAAAAAGCAAACUACAAAAACUAUAAGUUCAGACAGAAAAUGUUUGUUACUCUAUUCCUAUCACAGUAAGCCACAUUUCCAGUCACCUGGAAUUUGUAAGUGUGCUGAACUCCUAUUCCAUCACAUGGCCUGGUGGUCCCAUUGACAAUUAAUUGUAUCUUAUUACUUCCUUUGUGGCAAUUCAUAAAGUUAACAUUGAAUUAUAUUUACCAAAAACAUUAAAUUCAUAUUUAAAGAUAUGCAUUGAAGUCUGUGCUUCGAUGUCUCUUCCUGAGAAGUGAGUGGAGGUGGACAGAAUUGGGAUGGCUCUGAGUUGCUCUGACCCAAGUGGCAUGUGGCAUAGUGGGAAGU